UGCCCCAUGGCUGAGUUGGUCACAGCGUCCGACUGUUAUUUCUUAAACAUCGGAAGGUCGUGAGUUCGAGCCUCACUGGGGCAG